rnacentral:rRNA from 1 species
GAUGAACGCUGGCGGCGUGCCUAAUACAUGCAAGUUGAGCGAACGGACGAGAAGCUUGCUUCUCUAAUGUUAGCGGCGGACGGGUGAGUAACACGUGGAUAACCUACCUAUAAGACUGGGAUAACUUCGGGAAACCGUAGCUAAUACCGGAUAAUAUUUUGAACCGCAUGGUUCAAAAGUGAAAGACGGUCUUGCUGUCACUUAUAGAUGGAUCCGCGCUGCAUUAGCUAGUUGGUAAGGUAACGGCUUACCAAGGCAACGAUGCAUAGCCGACCUGAGAGGGUGAUCGGCCACACUGGAACUGAGACACGGUCCAGACUCCUACGGGAGGCAGCAGUAGGGAAUCUUCCGCAAUGGGCGAAAGCCUGACGGAGCAACGCCGCGUGAGUGAUGAAGGUCUUCGGAUCGUAAAACUCUGUUAUUAGGGAAGAACAUAUGUGUAAGUAACUGUGCACAUCUUGACGGUACCUAAUCAGAAAGCCACGGCUAACUACGUG